rnacentral:misc_RNA from 1 species
GCUUUCUGUGCCUGCUCCCCACAUGUGAACCCAACUGCGCACACCGUCACGCGCAUCCACAGUGGCGCGCGCACGCCUAGUUUUUGUACCUUGCCUUUCGCAAAUACUGGAAAGGGAGCAGGCAUGAGCGGGGCUGGUCGCAAGCAUCGUGCGAAGCACCUCACCCAGCAGUACCUCGACGCAUCUGGGUGGGCAGGCCCCAAAGAGGGCGAGAGGUUGGCGAUCUGCAUGGAGUCGCCGCACGGGCAGCACGUCCGCGUCCUUCUCCUAGCGCCCCCGAACAGCGCACCCGCGAGCUUAUCUACCGAGACCCCGACUCCGGGCGGUAGCAGCUCGAGCGAUGCUCCGCAUGGCGCGGAGGAGUCGGAGGCGGUUGUAUCCACGGCGCCUCUCUUAGAGGUCGAGCAAGUCGUGCAUCUGCCCAGGAAGUUUCACAAGGUCAUCUGGCUCAGCAUUAAGGACGUGGUAGUGAUCGCAGACGGCACUGUUAGCUCUAAACCGUCUCCUGAGCAAGUGGAGAACUUUCUCAAGGAUCCGAGGAACAAGGGGUGGCGCGAGCGCGUGGCGACGGCGCAGCACCGCGCUGAGGACCAGCGCGCUGUCCUGCAGCGCAUGCCGCAUUACGCCGCCACAGCGCAGACGACGACAUCGGUGCUUACCGGGCCUCAGGUCCGUUCAGGCGUGCGCGCGACGGCCAACGGCGCGUCGGAGCAGGACGGCGAGGGAAGCGAGAGCGAGGCAGAUGAUGUGUGCAAUCCGAACUGGCGCAACAUCAAGCACCAGCAGCAGUUCUUCUACGGCCUCGGCGACGAUAGUGACGAAGAAGUUGAAGAGGAAGAGGACGCAUAAACGAACAGCUCUCCAGUCGCGUCCACACCGCACCCACGCGAAGACGACAGCGUGAAGCUGAGACACAUGUGCAGGUAUGCCUUUUUAUGUGCUUGUGAGCCUGCGAUUGUGCUGAGAUGGUGACGGAGGGCCGUGCCUGGUGUUCCCCUCCCUCGCUGCACAUGCCGUCUGUGAGUGGUUAUGCGUCGUGAGCAAAGGUGGUGACCCACACCAAACGGAGCGAAAAGCUUGUAGGCGAGCUUCCCUGCUGAGCUCCACGUAAAAGACUAACAGGAAAACCAAG